UGGGGAAUAUUGGACAAUGGGCGCAAGCCUGAUCCAGCCGUGCCGCGUGAGUGAUGAAGGCCUUAGGGUUGUAAAGCUCUUUUAGCGGGGAAGAUAAUGACGGUACCCGCAGAAAAAGCCCCGGCUAACUUCGUGCCAGCAGCCGCGGUAAUACGAAGGGGGCUAGCGUUGCUCGGAAUUACUGGGCGUAAAGCGCACGUAGGCGGACUCUUAAGUCGGUGGUGAAAUCCUGGAGCUCAACUCCAGAACUGCCUUCGAUACUGGGAGUCUUGAGUUCGGGAGAGGUGAGUGGAACUGCGAGUGUAGAGGUGAAAUUCGUAGAUAUUCGCAAGAACACCAGUGGCGAAGGCGGCUCACUGGCCCGAUACUGACGCUGAGGUGCGAAAGCGUGGGGAGCAAACA
rnacentral:rRNA from 1 species